UACAGAGGGGGCAAGCGUUGUUCGGAAUUACUGGGCGUAAAGGGCGCGUAGGCGGCCACCUAAGUCAGACGUGAAAUCCCUCGGCUCAACCGGGGAACUGCGUCUGAUACUGGGCGGCUUGAAUUCGGGAGAGGGAUGCGGAAUUCCAGGUGUAGCGGUGAAAUGCGUAGAUAUCUGGAGGAACACCGGUGGCGAAGGCGGCAUCCUGGACCGAGAUUGACGCUGAGGCGCGAAAGCCAGGGGAGCAAACAGG
rnacentral:rRNA from 1 species